GUUUUCGCAACUUUUAGCUGCAAGGCCUCGAACUGGUACGGAGUCCUGUAGACAGGGCACGGAAGACCGUAUAGCCAAGAGCGCAGCGAGAGGUUCUCCGAUGGCGGUGACCUCGAGUUCUCUCCGUGCUCGGUGCCGGGCCCCAGGUAGCAGAGCCAAAGAUUUAAGCCACAAAAGAUCCAUUGGCUGCUAUGGGAAAAGCAGGAGCCACUUUCAUGGUAUGAAUGAUGCGGGCCUUGUGGUAAGAAAGGCAAUCACUGAAUGUCAGGACACCCUUACAGGGAUCUUGCCAUAUGAGCAACUUGAGCAGAUGGUUGUGUGAUUUUAUCGACUGCCUUUAAGCUGCCUGAACUGCAGUACCCUCCUCUGGCGCUAGCAAAGGAAUGCAUGCCGUCAAAUGCAUGAGAGCCAGAUCAGAGAGGAAUUGAACUGGGAUGAGGUGUCGGAAUCAAUUAACCUUUCUGAGAAUACUAAGACAAGCCUGAUCUUUUGGUGCCCUUCCAUAUUUCUGUUCUUGACUAAAUUUUUUGUGUUGCUGUUGACCAGAAGACUGGAUGGAGUUGAAUUGGUUCAGCUUUUUCAGCAGGAAAUUAUGCUGAGAGCGUUAUCAACAAGCUCAGGGAAUAUGGCUGCGACAACCUAUCCUGUGAGUUGAUGAGUGGGCAACUCCAAGGGCUGUUCAAAGUUGAGCUCUCUACAGGAUAAUUGGAGUCACUUGGAUUCCAGAUGGAAGCUCUUUUGCUCUGUUUGUUUUCCUUUUUUCUUUUUCUUUUUAAAUUUUGCUUCAAAAACUUCAGAAUCUUUAAGAGGCUGUAUAUGCUUCAAGAACUUGAAUCGAAGUUCUGAUUGGAUAGUCCUGCUGCUAUUUGAAGUCCAGAGGAUCAUUUUGACUGUUGACUGUUGUAGUUUGUUAGGCAUGGUUAUUUGCUUCUUGUUCAUGGUUAAUACCCACAUGGUCACAUAGAAAAAAGUUCAUAGACGGAUAAUCACAUGCUGAAAUCCGUGUUUCUCACUUUUUUGCCCUGUUCUCCUUAAGAUGUGCCAUAUGUUUGACGUUCUGUUGGGUGGACUACUCUGUUUUGAGUUGCUGCAAUUAGAUUUUGAUUAAGUACUA